rnacentral:rRNA from 1 species
AUUGAACGCUGGCGGCAUGCCUUACACAUGCAAGUCGAACGUGAAAGCGGGGCAACCCGCAAGUAGAGUGGCGGACGGGUGAGCAAUACAUCGGAACGUGUCCAGUAAUGGGGGAUAACCUAGCGAAAGUUAGGCUAAUACCGCAUACGAUCUACGGAUGAAAGCGGGGGAUGCGGCACUAAAGGCUUUUGGCGAAGGUGGCCAAAGGUGAGUCAAGAGCUUUUAGUGCUGCACCUCGCGUUAUUGGAGCGGCUGAUGUCUGAUUAGCUAGUUGGUGAGGUAAAGGCUUACCAAGGCGACGAUCAGUAGCUGGUCUGAGAGGACGGCCAGCCACACUGGGACUGAGACACGGCCCAGACUCCUACGGGAGGC